GUCAGCUCGUGCCGUGAGGUGUUGGGUUAAGUCCCGCNMACGAGCGCAACCCUCGUCGCUAGUUAGGCUGUCUAGCGAGACUGCCGGAAGCAAACCGGAGGAAGGCGGGGAUGACGUCAAGUCAGCAUGGCCCUUACGUCCUGGGCUACACACACGCUACAAUGGCCGGUACAACGGGUAGCAAGAACGCGAGUUGGAGCUAAUCCCAGCAAAGCCGGUCUCAGUUCAGAUUGCANGGCAUGCAACUCGCCUGCAUGAAGGAGGAGUUGCUAGUAACCGCGAA
rnacentral:rRNA from 1 species